GAUGAACGCUGGCGGCGUGCCUAAUACAUGCAAGUCGAGCGAACAGAUGAGGAGCUUGCUCCUCUGACGUUAGCGGCGGACGGGUGAGUAACACGUGGAUAACCUACCUAUAAGACUGGGAUAACUUCGGGAAACCGGAGCUAAUACCGGAUAAUAUAUUGAACCGCAUGGUUCAAUAGUGAAAGACGGUUUUGCUGUCACUUAUAGAUGGAUCCGCGCCGCAUUAGCUAGUUGGUAAGGUAACGGCUUACCAAGGCAACGAUGCGUAGCCGACCUGAGAGGGUGAACGGCCACACUGGAACUGAGAAACGGUCCAGACUCCUACGGGAGGCAGCAGUAGGGAAUCUUCCGCAAUGGGCGAAAGCCUGACGGAGCAACGCCGCGUGAGUGAUGAAGGUCUUCGGAUCGUAAAACUCUGUUAUUAGGGAAGAACAAAUGUGUAAGUAACUAUGCACGUCUUGACGGUACCUAAUCAGAAAGCCACGGCUAACUACGUG
rnacentral:rRNA from 1 species